AGCCAGGGCUGAGACCUACUGUCUUGCAAAGUCACCAAUCAGAGGUGGAGACUACAGAUUCAGCAAGACAUGACUUCAAGGUCUCUCCUUUCUGAUCUUGGGAUCUCACACCCUCAUCCUCUUGGCCGCCAGGAGGCUCCCCGGCUCAUCUGUGAUGAUCCUGAUGCUGUAACAUGCACAGGAGCAACUCAGAGUGACCAGGGAGUGGACUGGGACCUCCCUGCCUGCUGACCUCCAAGGACUUUCCAGGCCCACUCUGCUUGUCCUCCAGCCCCAGCCACUCCUCCAGGCCACCCUGGGGUCUCAGGGUCCUGGCCUGCCGGCUUCCCACGUGCUCCUUCCUCUCCAUAUUCCCUCUCUCUCUGUUUCUCUCUGUCUUUCUGU